UACGUAGGGGGCGAGCGUUGUCCGGAUUUAUUGGGCGUAAAGAGCGUGUAGGCGGCCAGGUAGGUCUGCUGUGAAAACUCGAGGCUCAACCUCGAGACGUCGGCGGAAACCAUCUGGCUAGAGUCCGGAAGAGGAGAGUGGAAUUCCUGGUGUAGCGGUGAAAUGCGUAGAUAUCGAGAGGACCACCUGCGGCGAAGGCGGGUUGCUGGGCUGACACUGACGCUGAUGCGCGAAAGCCAGGGGAGCGAACGGG
rnacentral:rRNA from 1 species